GUAGGGGACGAGCGUUGUCCGGAUUUAUUGGGCGUAAAGCGCGCGUAGGCGGCCCGGAAAGUCGGUUGUGAAAACCCGGGGCUCAACCCCGGGCCUGCAUCCGAAACUUCCGGGCUGGAGGUAGGUAGGGGAGAUCGGAAUUCCUGGUGUAGCGGUGAAAUGCGCAGAUAUCAGGAGGAACACCGGUGGCGAAGGCGGAUCUCUGGGCCUUACCUGACGCUGAGGCGCGAAAGCCAGGGGAGCGAACAGGAUUAGAUACCCUGGUAGUCCUAGCCGUAAACGUUGGGUGCUAGGUGUGGGUGGACAUCGACCCCAUCCGUGCCGAAGCUAACGCAUUAAGCACCCCGCCUGGGGAGUACGGCCGCAAGGCUA
rnacentral:rRNA from 1 species